UGUGCCUCGGAGAAUGGACUCUGCUGGAAUGCGGUGUUGGGUCUGAGGGAAAGUUGGAGAACUCAGGAGACGCUGCUGGCAUGGCCUAAGUCACUGGGACAAACACACCCAGAAUCCCAGAGGAACAUCAGUCACAUUGGUCCAUGUAGAGUCCCUGCCUUCUAGAUACUCAUGUGUGGUGACAAAGUGCUGAGCAACCUGCACGUCAAAGCCCUGCAGAACUUUCUGCAGAGGGACUUGCUGACUAUUGCGGGAGAAACACUGAAUUGGAACCACAUUGGUUAAAGCAUCUCAUCCUCUUUACCUUAACAGACAAAACUGAGGAUAAAUGAAAAUUCC